ACAAACUUGGUCAUUUAGAGGAAGUAAAAGUCGUAACAAGGUUUCCGUAGGUGAACCUGCGGAAGGAUCAUUAAAGAGAAAACUGCCCUUUGGGUAGAUCUCCCACCCUUUGUUUAAAUUACCUUUGUUGCUUUGGCAGGCCCGUCUUUCUGACCGCCGGCAUUAGCUGGUCCGUGCCUGCCAGAGGACCCCAAACUCUUGAUUUCAAGUUGUCCGAGUCUUAUAAAAUAGUUAAAAACUUUCAACAACGGAUCUCUAGGUUCUGGCAUCGAUGAAGAACGCAGC
rnacentral:misc_RNA from 1 species